AUUGUUUGACAUCAAAUUUAAUUUGCUUAUCUCCCUUUUAAAAUUUAAAAAAAAAAAAUUAAAAAAAUAAAAAUAAAAAGAACAUCUAAUAUUAUCAAAUAAUUUGAAUUUACUUCACAAUGUUACCCCAUCCAAGCAACCAGUAGCAACAUUGGUGACAAUUAGAAUUUACAUUUCAAGCUAAUAAUAGUCAGAUAAAAAAAAAAAAAUACACAUCAAUUGAAUCAUAGUACAUUCAUAGUAAACAAAACAAAACAAAAAAACUCAAACCACAGAAGUAGGUUAUAGUUUCUGAUUUCUGUCACAACCAACAAUGAUAUAGCCCAAUUAAUUUUUUUUUUUUUUUUUUUUUUUUUUUUUAAAUAUAAAUACAAUCAAUAAUAAAAGAAAAAGACACCCUCCACCCCCAAUCCUAAAUUGUUGAUGUCCAUCAGAGUUGACAUGCAAAUCGUCAGGCAAAUUAGUGAGAAAUGGAUGUUACUAAUUUACUGAAGGAGAUCUUAAACACAGAACUAAGUAAUGGCUACCAAGAUACAGAUGUUACAACUUAAUGCUAAUGCGACCGGGCUGUUCUAUCUGUAACUUGAAAUAAACCACUUUUUAUUAUUUUUUUUUUUACUAGGCAUGGGGCUAUACACUAUUAAGUUACUUUUCACAGGGCCAUUUCAUUUCAAUGCAACUCAAUAGUUUUAUCAAAUGAAAACAUUCUACAGCAUUAUUUACAUGCAAAUAAAAUUUAAAAUGAUAAAAAAAAAAAGAAGGAAAAAAUGUAACUGCUGAAUAUCAUCAACUUAUUGGAAAAAAAACAACAAACAAACACUCAACCAGAACAAAUAAAUAUGACCAACUUAUGUACAAGUACUGAGAGAAGAGAAAAGAAUUGAACAAUUGGAUAAUAGACGCAAAGCCUGGCAUCAAGCCUUAGGGUGCAGGUUGCUUGAAGGGGGUAAUAUUAUGAAGAAGAGACACUUUUUUUUUUGGCCCGAAAACCACUAUUAUAAAAUUUUGAAGCAGGAUGAAGAAAAUCUCUUAGUCCAAACAAAGAAUUUAUAAUGGAACAUUGUUUUGUUAUUUCAAAGUUUUGCUUCAGUAAUAUCAGCAGAGCCAAUACUCUGCGUGAUGGUUGCUGAUUUUUUUUCUUUUUUUUUAAAUUAGUAAUAUUUGUAAAAAAAAAAAAAAAAAUAUAUAAUAAAAUAAAAAUUGAAAAAAUAGUUUUACUUAUGAGUUUGUUUGUUUUUCUCAAAAAUAUUCAUAAAUAUCACUAUCCAGUAUUAAACAGUCACAUGUUUUGCUUAGAGAUUUAACAAGAACUGAAUUACAUUCAUCCAAUGACUCCCGAGCACAGCUAGUUCAUGCAGAGAGGGCAAGGGAAGGGAACAAUAGUAUGGACACAAGUAGGCACAAUAAUGAGUCACAGUCUAGUCUCUCUGAUACAGUUCAAUCAACUCCUACCCUUACUUUACACCAAAGGAUUCAAUGACAAAUGAAUAAAAACAGAAAUGUGCGUUAACCAUGAUUAAAUACAUGAAAAACCCUUGACUAUUCAUUAGUUACAUGGCAGUAGAACAAAACCUUCACUAUUUUUUAUUUUUUUUUACAUAGCAAUCAAAAUCAUUUGGUGUUUUUUGUUAUCUAUCAUACAACCAAUACCAAAGAAACCAAUAAAAAAAAAAGUGGAAGAUGAAAGGUUUUGGAAACAGCAGGUCAAAAUGACUGUCCACACAUAUCAAAUAAGAAAAUUUGCAGACUGAAUAAAGAAAUGAUGUCACCCUGGCUUGAAACAUUAUGCGAUUGACUCAAAUGUACAAUAGGGAUGGAAGAUAUAUGCAUGAGUGAUUAACUGCAUGGACCACAACACAUCCAACAGAGGUCACAUACUCUCUUCUGAAAUGUUUGAAAGUAUCUUUCAAGUCAAUCAUUUUGAAACACCUUUUGAACAGAACAAUAUCACAAAUCAUUUCAAGUUCAUGAAACAAAGAUAGUCAUAAGUUUGAAAGAAAAUUGAAAAUAAUGAAGGUGAAAAAAAAAAAAAACAUGGGAG